rnacentral:tRNA from 1 species
AAACAGCGGAUGCCAGAAAGUCGCUGCUAUUUUUAUCAGGAUCUGAUGUUACCUGUGUUACUCGACAGUUUGCGUGG